rnacentral:rRNA from 1 species
UACGUAGGGUGCGAGCGUUAAUCGGAAUUACUGGGCGUAAAGGGCGCGUAGGCGGGAUGGCAAGUCGGUCGUGAAAUCCCUCGGCUCAACCGAGGAACGUCGAUCGAUACUGCUGUUCUUGAGGAUUGCAGAGGAGACUGGAAUUCCCGGUGUAGCGGUGAAAUGUGUAGAGAUCGGGAGGAACGACCGGUGGCGAAGGCGGGUC